GGUUAAGCGACUAAGCGUACACGGUGGAUGCCCUGGCAGUCAGAGGCGAUGAAGGANNNNNNNNNNNNNNNNNNNNNNNNNNNNNNNNNNNNNNNNNNNNNNNNNNNNNNNNNNNNNNNNNNNNNNNNNNNNNNNNNNNNGUCACACUAUCAUUAACUGAAUCCAUAGGUUAAUGAGGCGAACCGGGGGAACUGAAACAUCUAAGUACCCCGAGGAAAAGAAAUCAACCGAGAUUCCCUCAGUAGCGGCGAGCGAACGGGGAGGAGCCCAGAGCCUGAAUCAGCAUGUGUGUUAGUGGAAGCGUCUGGAAAGGCGCGCGAUACAGGGUGACAGCCCCGUACACAAAAGCGCAUGUGCUGUGAGCUCGAUGAGUAGGGCGGGACACGUGGUAUCCUGUCUGAAUAUGGGGGGACCAUCCUCCAAGGCUAAAUACUCCUGACUGACCGAUAGUGAACCAGUACCGUGAGGGAAAGGCGAAAAGAACCCCGGCGAGGGGAGUGAAAAAGAACCUGAAACCGUGUACGUACAAGCAGUGGGAGCACCCUUUGGGGUGUGACUGCGUACCUUUUGUAUAAUGGGUCAGCGACUUAUAUUCUGUAGCAAGGUUAACCGAAUAGGGGAGCCGGAGGGAAACCGAGUCUUAACCGGGCGUUAAGUUGCAGGGUAUAGACCCGAAACCCGGUGAUCUAGCCAUGGGCAGGUUGAAGGUUGGGUAACACUAACUGGAGGACCGAACCGACUAAUGUUGAAAAAUUAGCGGAUGACCUGUGGCUGGGGGUGAAAGGCCAAUCAAACCGGGAGAUAGCUGGUUCUCCCCGAAAGCUAUUUAGGUAGCGCCUCGUGAAUUCAUCUCCGGGGGUAGAGCACUGUUUCGGCUAGGGGGCCAUCCCGGCUUACCAACCCGAUGCAAACUGCGAAUACCGGAGAAUGUUAUCACGGGAGACACACGGCGGGUGCUAACGUCCGUCGUGAAGAGGGAAACAACCCAGACCGCCAGCUAAGGUCCCAAAGUCAUGGUUAAGUGGGAAACGAUGUGGGAAGGCCCAGACAGCCAGGAUGUUGGCUUAGAAGCAGCCAUCAUUUAAAGAAAGCGUAAUAGCUCACUGGUCGAGUCGGCCUGCGCGGAAGAUGUAACGGGGCUAAACCAUGCACCGAAGCUGCGGCAGCGACACUGAUGUGUUGUUGGGUAGGGGAGCGUUCUGUAAGCCUGUGAAGGUGUGUCGUGAGGCAUGCUGGAGGUAUCAGAAGUGCGAAUGCUGACAUAAGUAACGAUAAAGCGGGUGAAAAGCCCGCUCGCCGGAAGACCAAGGGUUCCUGUCCAACGUUAAUCGGGGCAGGGUGAGUCGACCCCUAAGGCGAGGCCGAAAGGCGUAGUCGAUGGGAAACGGGUUAAUAUUCCCGUACUUGGUGUUACUGCGAAGGGGGGACGGAGAAGGCUAUGUUGGCCGGGCGACGGUUGUCCCGGUUUAAGCGUGUAGGUGUGUGUUCCAGGUAAAUCCGGUUCACUUUAACACUGAGGCGUGACGACGAGGCACUACGGUGCUGAAGCAACAAAUGCCCUGCUUCCAGGAAAAGCCUCUAAGCAUCAGGUAACAUCAAAUCGUACCCCAAACCGACACAGGUGGUCAGGUAGAGAAUACCAAGGCGCUUGAGAGAACUCGGGUGAAGGAACUAGGCAAAAUGGUGCCGUAACUUCGGGAGAAGGCACGCUGACACGUAGGUGAAGUGAUUUACUCAUGGAGCUGAAGUCAGUCGAAGAUACCAGCUGGCUGCAACUGUUUAUUAAAAACACAGCACUGUGCAAACACGAAAGUGGACGUAUACGGUGUGACGCCUGCCCGGUGCCGGAAGGUUAAUUGAUGGGGUCAGCGCAAGCGAAGCUCCUGAUCGAAGCCCCGGUAAACGGCGGCCGUAACUAUAACGGUCCUAAGGUAGCGAAAUUCCUUGUCGGGUAAGUUCCGACCUGCACGAAUGGCGUAAUGAUGGCCAGGCUGUCUCCACCCGAGACUCAGUGAAAUUGAACUCGCUGUGAAGAUGCAGUGUACCCGCGGCAAGACGGAAAGACCCCGUGAACCUUUACUAUAGCUUGACACUGAACAUUGAGCCUUGAUGUGUAGGAUAGGUGGGAGGCUUUGAAGUGUGGACGCCAGUCUGCAUGGAGCCGGCCUUGAAAUACCACCCUUUAAUGUUUGAUGUUCUAACGUGGACCCGUGAUCCGGGUUGCGGACAGUGUCUGGUGGGUAGUUUGACUGGGGCGGUCUCCUCCUAAAGAGUAACGGAGGAGCACGAAGGUUGGCUAAUCCUGGUCGGACAUCAGGAGGUUAGUGCAAUGGCAUAAGCCAGCUUGACUGCGAGCGUGACGGCGCGAGCAGGUGCGAAAGCAGGUCAUAGUGAUCCGGUGGUUCUGAAUGGAAGGGCCAUCGCUCAACGGAUAAAAGGUACUCCGGGGAUAACAGGCUGAUACCGCCCAAGAGUUCAUAUCGACGGCGGUGUUUGGCACCUCGAUGUCGGCUCAUCACAUCCUGGGGCUGAAGUAGGUCCCAAGGGUAUGGCUGUUCGCCAUUUAAAGUGGUACGCGAGCUGGGUUUAGAACGUCGUGAGACAGUUCGGUCCCUAUCUGCCGUGGGCGCUGGAGAACUGAGGGGGGCUGCUCCUAGUACGAGAGGACCGGAGUGGACGCAUCACUGGUGUUCGGGUUGUCAUGCCAAUGGCACUGCCCGGUAGCUAAAUGCGGAAGAGAUAAGUGCUGAAAGCAUCUAAGCACGAAACUUGCCCCGAGAUGAGUUCUCCCUGAGACUUAGAGUCUCCUGAAGGAACGUUGAAGACGACGACGUUGAUAGGCCGGGUGUGUAAGCGCAGCGAUGCGUUGAGCUAACCGGUACUAAUGAACCGUGAGGCUUAACCUU
rnacentral:rRNA from 1 species